rnacentral:rRNA from 1 species
ACAGUGUCGCAAUAGUAAUUCAACCUAGUACGAGAUGAACCAUUAAUUCGCACAAUUAGUCAUCGCGCUUGGUUGAGAAGCCAGUGGCGCAAAGCUACCGUAUGCUAGAUUAUGACUAAAUGCCUUUAAAUUAGAAUUCGACCUAGAAGUGAUGCAUGCACCUGUCAUCUGCUUGUCGACUCGCAGUAGGGGCCUUAUGGUCCCCAGUGGCACAUGUCGUUGGCCAAGCCCUUGCAGCGGACGUGCUGAUUUGGCUGCCUUGAAGUACAAUUUACGUCGAGCGAUGGAUAGAAUCCUUUGCAGACAACUUAAAUACACAACAAGGGUAUUGUAAGUGGUAGAGUGGCCUUGCUACCACGAUCCGCCAAGAUUCAGCCCUUUGUAGCUCCAAUU